GGUCUCAUGGUGUAACGGUAGGCACUCUGGACUCUGAAUCCAGUGAUCCGAGUUCGAAUCUCGGUGAGACCU
rnacentral:tRNA from 1 species